rnacentral:rRNA from 1 species
CCUACGGGGUGCAGCAGGCGCGAAACCUCUGCAAUGCGGGAAACCGUGACAGGGGGAUCCCAAGUGCUCAUGCAUUGCAUGGGCUGUUCUUUGGUCUAAGUAACCAGAGGAGUAAGGGCUGGGCAAGACCGGUGCCAGCCGCCGCGGUAAUACCGGCAGCUCAAGUGGUAGCCGCGAUUAUUGGGCCUAAAGCGUUCGUAGCCGGAUAAGUAAGUCUUUGGUUAAAUCCUGCAACUCAACUGUGGGAAAUCUAGGGAUACUGCUUGUCUUGAGACCGGGAGAGGUUAGAGGUACUCCUAGGGUAGGGGUGAAAUCCUGUAAUCCUAGGGGGACCACCUGUGGCGAAGGCGUCUAACUGGAACGGGUCUGACGGUGAGGGACGAAACCUAGGGGAGCGAGCCGGAUUAGAUACCCGGGUAGUCC